GACGAACGCUGGCGGCGUGCUUAACACAUGCAAGUCGAACGGAAAGGCCCUGCUUUUGUGGGGUGCUCGAGUGGCGAACGGGUGAGUAACACGUGAGUAACCUGCCCUUGACUUUGGGUUAACUUCAGGAAACUGGGGCUAAUACCGGAUAGGAGCUCCUGCUGCAUGGUGGGGGUUGGAAAGUUUCGGCGGUUGGGGAUGGACUCGCGGCUUAUCAGCUUGUUGGUGGGGUAGUGGCUUACCAAGGCUUUGACGGGUAGCCGGCCUGAGAGGGUGACCGGCCACAUUGGGACUGAGAUAUGGCCCAGACUCCUACGGGAGGCAGCAGUGGGGAAUAUUGCACAAUGGGCGGAAGCCUGAUGCAGCAACGCCGCGUGCGGGAUGACGGCCUUCGGGUUGUAAACCGCUUUCGCCUGUGACGAAGCGUGAGUGACGGUAAUGGGUAAAGAAGCACCGGCUAACUACGUG
rnacentral:rRNA from 1 species